UACGAAGGUCCCGAGCGUUAUUCGGAAUCACUGGGCGUAAAGAGUUCGUAGGCGGUUUGGUAAGUCAGGUGUGAAAUCCCGGAGCUCAACUCCGGAACUGCAUCCGAUACUGCCAGACUGGAGUAAUGGAGGGGCAGGUGGAAUUCUUGGUGUAGCAGUGAAAUGCGUGGAUAUCAAGAGGAAGACCAAUGGCGAAGGCA
rnacentral:rRNA from 1 species